UAAUUACGAACACCUGACCUGCAGUGCAGCAGAAUUCCGAGUCUUGUUUGCGCUCCGGUGACGCGCAGCUAACCUCGAGACAUGUAACUUACUCCAGAGACGCACUAACUUGCACAGCAUUGAAUGGAAAAGGCUUUGUCCAUGUCCAGUUGAGGGCAUCAAGAACACGCAGAUGGCCUAAACCUGUGUCAGCCUGGACAGACUGCAGUUCUGCUACUCCACGCCAAGGCUUUUGUAUGGAUGUCUUGACUACUACUGUGUUCUCUAAAGGUUUUCUGGAAGCUCCAUUUGAGGGCAUCAAGGACAUACUGAUGGCCUAAACCAGUGUCAGCCUAGACAGACAGACAUCUAUUGCAGUUCUGCUACACAAGACCAAACUCUCUGCUUUUGUAUGGAUGUCUGACUAGUAUGGUGUUCUCUAAAGGUGUAACUGGAGCAAAACAACAGCACCCGUUACAGUGAAAUUUGUGUUCAUAAAAGAUAGUGAUAUAUCAGGUAUAGUAACAGGUCCAGUACAUUUGUCAUAAAGGUUAAAUCACAGUAAGUACUGUAAAAAUAACUUGUUUGCCUUUGCCACAACAGGUCAUGGUGUGUGCAUACUACUCGUAGUAAACACACACGCUGAUCUGAUGGGGGAGAGAUAUACGCAAACACAUUUGUAUUUACUGUUUUGUUUUGCCUCACUAAAGUGUUGUUGGAGCUUGGUAUGUUCACAGUUGAAAUCACUGAAGUCACAUGGAACGUUUUGACAAUGUGUUUUGUGCCUUAUCUUGACAAUGACCAUCUUGGGACCAUUGCUGUCUGUAGAGGAUGAGGAGCAUUUAAUCUAAAAUAUUUUAGUUUGUGUUCUGAAGAUUAACAAGUCUCUGGGGUGA
ensembl:processed_transcript